AUGCUGACGAGCUCAGCGGCCAUCCUACACAAACCCAGUCAUCCCCCCGCCUGCCCAGCUCCCUGGGGAAGCCGGCUGCAAUUCCUUACAACAACCAGAGGCAGGAUAUUUCCCCAACUUGUUCCCUCGUUCCCCGUGCAAGACAACAGGGAAAGCAAACAAGAUUUAAGGCAGCCAUCUCCGCAGCUCAGGGGAAUCAUUCCAAAGAUUAAAUCAGCGCUCUGCCAUCAGCUGAGCUUAGCACAUUGCAGCUGGUGCAGUCAUUUAACUCCGUGGCUGCCACAGCCCGGGUGUGCUGGGAUGACAGGCAAACCCCCACCAGCCACCGCCCAGCUCGGCUUGCUGGCAAAACGCAGCGCAAAGAGGAACUGAGACUUCUUUGACAACAGUUUCAACCAUUUGUGAUGUAUGUUUUCCUUUCAACAAUAUCAUCCAAACAAUGAAGAGGACUAGGAGUAUUAUGCACAAGUGGCAUUCCUUGUGGAGCAGCAACAGCAGCUCUGGGAAGAUAAUGUAAUCCAUCAGAGAGGAAACAAGCACUUUGUCCAAGGAAGGUCCAGUGCCAACACUUUGAUUGUUCAACUGAAUGUUUUUUAAAUUAAGUUCUCAAAGAAUGUAAGCGGAAUAUUUAUUGCAAACAUUACUCAAAAUAUAUUGUUUCUCAAAAAAAAUGAGGUUUAAUAAUAAGCAUCAAUAAACAGUUAAACUUUUUUGGUUAAGACA
rnacentral:lncRNA from 1 species